CGGCACGGGUGAGUAACACGUAUGCAAUCCACCUGUAACAGGGGAUAACCCGGAGAAAUCCGGACUAAUACCCCAUAAUAUGGGCGCUCCGCAUGGAGAGCCCAUUAAGAGAGCAAUUUUGGUUACAGACGAGCAUGCGCUCCAUUAGCCAGUUGGCGGGGUAACGGCCCACCAAAGCGACGAUGGAUAGGGGUUCUGAGAGGAAGGUCCCCCACAUUGGAACUGAGACACGGUCCAA
rnacentral:rRNA from 1 species